AGAGUUUGAUCCUGGCUCAGGAUGAACGCUAGCGGCAGGCUUAACACAUGCAAGUCGAGGGGCAGCGUGGGGCAGCAAUGCUCUGACGGCGACCGGCGGAAGGGUGCGUAACACGUGAGCGACUUGCCCGUCACAGGGGGAUAACCGGCGGAAACGGCGACUAAUACCCCAUAUGAUGUGAUGCUGCAUGGCAUCGCAUUGAAAGAUUCAUCGGUGGCGGAUAGGCUCGCGGGACAUUAGCUAGACGGCGGGGCAACGGCCCACCGUGGCGACGAUGUCUAGGGGUUCUGAGAGGAAGACCCCCCACACUGGGACUGAGACACGGCCCAGACUCCUACGGGAGGCAGCAGUGAGGAAUAUUGGUCAAUGGGCGGAAGCCUGAACCAGCCAUGCCGCGUGAAGGACUAAGGCCCUACGGGUCGUAAACUUCUUUAGACGCAGAGCAAUAAGGUCCACGUGUGGACCGAUGAGAGUAUGCGUAGAAUAAGCAUCGGCUAACUCCGUGCCAGCAGCCGCGGUAAUACGGGGGAUGCGAGCGUUAUCCGGAUUCAUUGGGUUUAAAGGGUGCGUAGGCGGCCGAGUAAGUCAGCGGUGAAAGACCGGGGCUCAACCCUGGAAGUGCCGUUGAUACUGUUUGGCUGGAAUGAUCCCGCCGCGGGAGGAAUGAGUGGUGUAGCGGUGAAAUGCAUAGAUAUCACUCAGAACACCGAUUGCGAAGGCAUCUCGCGAGGGGUCAAUUGACGCUGAGGCACGAAAGCGUGGGGAUCGAACAGGAUUAGAUACCCUGGUAGUCCACGCAGUAAACGAUGAUGGCUAACUGUCGGGCCUGCGGGUUCGGCGGCCAAGCGAAAGCGAUAAGCCAUCCACCUGGGGAGUACGACCGCAAGGUUGAAACUCAAAGGAAUUGACGGGGGCCCGCACAAGCGGAGGAACAUGUGGUUUAA
rnacentral:rRNA from 1 species